CUGCUGCACACCACGCCCACCACAACCUCUUGGGACAGUUUACCCACCACGGGAGGAUCCCUCAGACUGCGAGAAGGGCCGCCCAUUUGCCUCCUGACGCUGCCCUCCAACCACGAC
rnacentral:ribozyme from 1 species